rnacentral:rRNA from 1 species
GAGUUUGAUCCUGGCUCAAACGUACGCBGGCGGCACGCUAACACAUGCAAGUCGAACGCAGUAGCAAUACUGAGUGGCAGACGGGUGAGUAUAAUGUGGGAAUCUGCCUUUUGGUUCGGUAUAACACGAGGRAACUUGUGCUAAUACCGGAUAAGCCUUCACAGGGAAAGUUUUAUACGCCAAAAGAUGAGCCCGCACUUGAUUAGCUAGUUGGUGAGGUAAUAGCUCACCAAGGCAACGAUCAAUAGCUGUUCUUAGAGGAAGACCAGCCACAUUGGGACUGAGACACGGCCCAAACUCCUACGGGAGGCAGCAGUGGGGAAUCUUGCACAAUGGGGGAAACCCUGAUGCAGCGAUGCCGCGUGAGUGAAGAAGGCCUUUGGGUUGUAAAACUCUUUCGUCGGGGAAGAAAAUGACUGUACCCGAAUAAGAAGGUCCGGCUAACUUCGUGCCAGCAGCCGCGGUAAUACGAAGGGACCUAGCGUAGUUCGGAAUUACUGGGCUUAAAGAGCUCGUAGGUGGUUAAAAAAGUUGAUGGUGAAAUCCCAAGGCUCAACCUUGGAACUGCCAUCAAAACUUUUUAGCUAGAGUAUGAUAGAGGAAAGUGGAAUUUCUAGUGUAGAGGUGAAAUUCGUAGAUAUUAGAAAGAACACCAAAUGCGAAGGCAACCUUCUGGAUCAUUACUGACACUGAGGAGCGAAACAUGGGUAGCGAAGAGGAUUAGAUACCCUCGUAGUCCAUGCCGUAAACGAUGUGUGCUAGACGUUGGAAACAUAGUUUUCAGUGUCGCAGCGAAASAUUAAGCACACCGCCUGGGGAGUACGACCGCAAGUUAAAACUCAAAUGAAUUGACGGGGACCCGCACAAGCAGUGGAGCAUGUGGUUUAAUUCGAAGAUACGCGCAGAACCUUACCAACACUUGACAUGUUCGUCGCGAGCCUAAGAGAUUAGGCUUUUCAGUUCGGCUGGACGAAACACAGGUGCUGCAUGGCUGUCGUCA